AGCUGAACUGGGUGGGGAGGAAUAGCUCAGUGGUUUGCGCAUUCGCCUGCUAAACCCAGCUUUGAGACUUCCAUCCUUGAGGCGGACAUGUAAGGAUCUGAUCUGUAUGGGGAUUGGUCCCGCUUUGAGCAGGGGGUUG